UACGUAGGGCGCAAGCGUUGUCCGGAAUUAUUGGGCGUAAAGAGCGUGUAGGCGGCCUGAAAGGUCAGCUGUGAAAACUCGAGGCUCAACCUCGAGACGUCGGUUGAAACCAUCUGGCUAGAGUCCGGAAGAGGAGAGUGGAAUUCCCGGUGUAGCGGUGAAAUGCGCAGAUAUCGGGAAGAACACCCGUGGCGAAGGCGGCUCUCGUGGGACGGUACUGACGCGUGAGACGCGAAAGCGUGGGGAGCGAACGAGG
rnacentral:rRNA from 1 species